GGGUUGUGAGGUUAAGCGACUAAGCGUACACGGUGGAUGCCCUGGCAGUCAGAGGCGAUGAAGGACGUGCUAAUCUGCGAAAAGCGUCGGUAAGGUGAUAUGAACCGUUAUAACCGGCGAUGUCCGAAUGGGGAAACCCAGUGCAAUUCGUUGCACUAUCGUUAACUGAAUACAUAGGUUAACGAGGCGAACCGGGGGAACUGAAACAUCUAAGUACCCCGAGGAAAAGAAAUCAACCGAGAUUCCCCCAGUAGCGGCGAGCGAACGGGGAGCAGCCCAGAGUCUGAAUCAGCUUGUGUGUUAGUGGAACGGUCUGGAAAGUCCGACGGUACAGGGUGAUAGUCCCGUACACCAAAAUGCACAGGCUGUGAACUCGAAGAGUAGGGCGGGACACGUGGUAUCCUGUCUGAAUAUGGGGGGACCAUCCUCCAAGGCUAAAUACUCCUGACUGACCGAUAGUGAACCAGUACCGUGAGGGAAAGGCGAAAAGAACCCCGGCGAGGGGAGUGAAAAAGAACCUGAAACCGUGUACGUACAAGCAGUGGGAGCACCUUCGGGUGUGACUGCGUACCUUUUGUAUAAUGGGUCAGCGACUUAUAUUCUGUAGCAAGGUUAACCGUAUAGGGGAGCCGCAGGGAAACCGAGUCUUAACUGGGCGUUAAGUUGCAGGGUAUAGACCCGAAACCCGGUGAUCUAGCCAUGGGCAGGUUGAAGGUUGGGUAACACUAACUGGAGGACCGAACCGACUAAUGUUGAAAAAUUAGCGGAUGACUUGUGGCUGGGGGUGAAAGGCCAAUCAAACCGGGAGAUAGCUGGUUCUCCCCGAAAGCUAUUUAGGUAGCGCCUCGUGAACUCAUCUUCGGGGGUAGAGCACUGUUUCGGCUAGGGGGUCAUCCCGACUUACCAACCCGAUGCAAACUACGAAUACCGAAGAAUGUUAUCACGGGAGACACACGGCGGGUGCUAACGUCCGUCGUGAAGAGGGAAACAACCCAGACCGCCAGCUAAGGUCCCAAAGUCAUGGUUAAGUGGGAAACGAUGUGGGAAGGCACAGACAGCCAGGAUGUUGGCUUAGAAGCAGCCAUCAUUUAAAGAAAGCGUAAUAGCUCACUGGUCGAGUCGGCCUGCGCGGAAGAUGUAACGGGGCUAAACCAUGCACCGAAGCUGCGGCAGCGACACUAUGUGUUGUUGGGUAGGGGAGCGUUCUGUAAGCCUGCGAAGGUGACCUGUGAGGGUUGCUGGAGGUAUCAGAAGUGCGAAUGCUGACAUAAGUAACGAUAAAGCGGGUGAAAAGCCCGCUCGCCGGAAGACCAAGGGUUCCUGUCCAACGUUAAUCGGGGCAGGGUGAGUCGACCCCUAAGGCGAGGCCGAAAGGCGUAGUCGAUGGGAAACAGGUUAAUAUUCCUGUACUUGGUGUUACUGCGAAGGGGGGACGGAGAAGGCUAUGUUAGCCGGGCGACGGUUGUCCCGGUUUAAGCAUGUAGGCUGAUUGUCCAGGCAAAUCCGGAUAAUCAAGGCUGAGGUGUGAUGACGAGGCACUACGGUGCUGAAGUAACAAAUGCCCUGCUUCCAGGAAAAGCCUCUAAGCAUCAGGUAACAUCAAAUCGUACCCCAAACCGACACAGGUGGUCAGGUAGAGAAUACCAAGGCGCUUGAGAGAACUCGGGUGAAGGAACUAGGCAAAAUGGUGCCGUAACUUCGGGAGAAGGCACGCUGGUGUGUAGGUGAAGUCCCUGCGGAUGGAGCUGAGACCAGUCGAAGAUACCAGCUGGCUGCAACUGUUUAUUAAAAACACAGCACUGUGCAAACACGAAAGUGGACGUAUACGGUGUGACGCCUGCCCGGUGCCGGAAGGUUAAUUGAUGGGGUUAUCCGUAAGGAGAAGCUCUUGAUCGAAGCCCCGGUAAACGGCGGCCGUAACUAUAACGGUCCUAAGGUAGCGAAAUUCCUUGUCGGGUAAGUUCCGACCUGCACGAAUGGCGUAAUGAUGGCCAGGCUGUCUCCACCCGAGACUCAGUGAAAUUGAACUCGCUGUGAAGAUGCAGUGUACCCGCGGCAAGACGGAAAGACCCCGUGAACCUUUACUAUAGCUUGACACUGAACAUUGAGCCUUGAUGUGUAGGAUAGGUGGGAGGCUUUGAAGCGUGGACGCCAGUCUGCGUGGAGCCAACCUUGAAAUACCACCCUUUAAUGUUUGAUGUUCUAACGUUGGCCCCUGACCGGGGUUGCGGACAGUGUCUGGUGGGUAGUUUGACUGGGGCGGUCUCCUCCCAAAGCGUAACGGAGGAGCACGAAGGUUAGCUAAUCCUGGUCGGACAUCAGGAGGUUAGUGCAAUGGCAUAAGCUAGCUUGACUGCGAGCGUGACGGCGCGAGCAGGUGCGAAAGCAGGUCAUAGUGAUCCGGUGGUUCUGAAUGGAAGGGCCAUCGCUCAACGGAUAAAAGGUACUCCGGGGAUAACAGGCUGAUACCGCCCAAGAGUUCAUAUCGACGGCGGUGUUUGGCACCUCGAUGUCGGCUCAUCACAUCCUGGGGCUGAAGUAGGUCCCAAGGGUAUGGCUGUUCGCCAUUUAAAGUGGUACGCGAGCUGGGUUUAGAACGUCGUGAGACAGUUCGGUCCCUAUCUGCCGUGGGCGCUGGAGAAUUGAGGGGGGCUGCUCCUAGUACGAGAGGACCGGAGUGGACGCAUCACUGGUGUUCGGGUUGUCAUGCCAAUGGCACUGCCCGGUAGCUAAAUGCGGAAGAGAUAAGUGCUGAAAGCAUCUAAGCACGAAACUUGCCCCGAGAUGAGUUCUCCCUGAGACUUUAAGUCUCCUGAAGGAACGUUAAAGACGAUGACGUUGAUAGGCCGGGUGUGUAAGCGCAGCGAUGCGUUGAGCUAACCGGUACUAAUGAACCGUGAGGCUUAACCUUACAACGCCGAAG
rnacentral:rRNA from 1 species